rnacentral:lncRNA from 1 species
UGGCUUCCAAGAAAUGUUUUAUCUCCAGGGAUGUUAUAUUCCAUGAAACAUGUUUUUCUUUUAAGAAUAAACCUUCUUCUGCUUAUUCUUCUCCUUCAUCCUUUCCUUUUAUUCCUCCUGCUGAGCAUUCCACUGACACUACCUUUCCUAUACAUGCUUCCUCUCUUCCCCUACAUCUAUUCGAGCCCCCUAAUUCUACUGUUCCUAAUUUUACUGAUACUGAUCCAGCUCCCCUUCCUUCUUUCAAUCCUGAUAUCUCUCCUCCUGUUUUACCUUCUUCCCAACCUCUUCCUGUUCCUAGAAAAUCCACUAGACAGCAUAAUCCUCCAUCCUAUCUUAAAAAUUAUGUCUGUCAACUCCCUGUCUUUUCUUGAUCCUCUUCUUCUACUUUGGAAUCUGAACCUUUAUAUUACUUCCCAACCUCUUCCUGCUCCUAGAAAAUCCUCUAGACAGCAUAAUCCUCCAUCCUAUCUUAAGGAUUAUGUUUGUCAACUCCCUGCCUUUUUUGGAUCCUCUUCUUCUACUUUGGAAUCUGAACCUUUAUAUUACUCUCAAGCUGCAUCUGUUCCAGCAUGGCAGGAUGCCAUGAGACAGGAGUUUGAUGCUUUGGAAGCAAACCAUACCUGGGAUGUUAUUCCCCUUCCUCCUGGUA